AUUGAACGCUGGCGGCAGGCCUAACACAUGCAAGUCGAACGGUAACAGAAAGCAGCUUGCUGCUUUGCUGACGAGUGGCGGACGGGUGAGUAAUGUCUGGGAAACUGCCUGAUGGAGGGGGAUAACUACUGGAAACGGUAGCUAAUACCGCAUAACGUCGCAAGACCAAAGAGGGGGACCUUCGGGCCUCUUGCCAUCGGAUGUGCCCAGAUGGGAUUAGCUAGUAGGUGGGGUAACGGCUCACCUAGGCGACGAUCCCUAGCUGGUCUGAGAGGAUGACCAGCCACACUGGAACUGAGACACGGUCCAGACUCCUACGGGAGGCAGCAGUGGGGAAUAUUGUACAAUGGGCGCAAGCCUGAUGCAGCCAUGCCGCGUGUAUGAAGAAGGCCUUCGGGUUGUAAAGUACUUUCAGCGGGGAGGAAGGGAGUAAAGUUAAUACCUUUGCUCAUUGACGUUACCCGCAGAAGAAGCACCGGCUAACUCCGUG
rnacentral:rRNA from 1 species